rnacentral:rRNA from 1 species
GGCCUUUUGAUUAUGAUUUAAGGUCUAGCCUGCCCAAUGAUUGAAGAAUUUAAUGGCCGCAGUAUUCUGACUGUGCAAAGGUAGCAUAAUCAUUAGUUUUUUAAUUGAAAGCUUGUAUGAAAGGUUUGAUGAGAAAAGAACUGUCUCUAUUUAAGAUUUUAGAAAUUUAUUUUUAAGUUAAAAAGCUUAAAUAUUCAUUGAAGACGAGAAGACCCUAUAGAGUUUUAUUUAUAUACUAAUAAAUAAAAUUUAGUAUUUAAAAUUUUAUUAUUAUAUAAAUUUAGUUGGGGUGAUUGAAAAAUUUAUAAAACUUUUUUUUUAUUUUUACAUUUAUUUAUGAAUAUUUGAUCCUUUAUUAGAUUAUAAGAUAAAAUUACCUUAGGGAUAACAGCGUAAUUUUUCUUAAAGUUCUUAUUAAAAGAAAAGAUUGCGACCUCGAUGUUGGAUUAAAAUUAAAUUUUUGGUGUAGAAGCUAAUAAAUUAGGUCUGUUCGACCUUUAAAUUUUUACAUGAUCUGAGUUUAAACCGGUGUAAG